GAAAUGCGAUAAGUAAUGUGAAUUGCAGAAUUCCGUGAAUCAUCGAAUCUUUGAACGCACAUUGCGCCCGCCAGUACUCUGGCGGGCAUGCCUGUCCGAGCGUCAUUUCAACCCUCGGCCCCCCGGACCCCCGGGGGGCCGGCGUUGGGGAUCGGGAGCGCCCCCAGGGCCUCCCGCCCCCUAAAUACAGUGGCGGCCUCGCCGCGGCCUCCCCUGCGUAGUAGCACACCUCGCAGCACGGAGCGCGGCGAAGCCCAGCCGUUAAACCCCCCACUACACAAGGUUGACCUCGGAUCAGGUAGGACUACCCGCUGAACUUAA
rnacentral:misc_RNA from 1 species